rnacentral:rRNA from 1 species
GUUUGAUCCUGGCUCAGGACGAACGCUGGCGGCGUGCUUAACACAUGCAAGUCAAGGACCGUAGCAAUACGGAACUGGCGCACGGGUGCGGAACACGUAGGCAAUCUGCCCUUGAAGGGAGAACAACCAGUCGAAAGAUUGGCUAAGUCUCCGUAAAAUCAUAGAGUGGCAUCACUUAUUGAUCAAGUUUUUUCAAGGAUGAGCCUGCGUCUGAUUAGCUAGUUGGCGGGGUAACGGCCCACCAAGGCAACGAUCAGUAGCUGGUCUGAGAGGAUGAUCAGCCACAUUGGGACUGAGAUACGGCCCAGACUCCUACGGGAGGCAGCAGUGAGGAAUAUUGCUCAACGGGGGAAACCCUGAAGCAGCAACGCCGCGUAAAGGAUGAAGGCGCUUUGCGUUGUAAACUUUUGUAGUCGGGGACAAAUUGUGGGUUACUACCCACUUGAUGGUACCCGAAAAGUAAGGAUCGGCUAACUACGUGCCAGCAGCCGCGGUAAUACGUAGGAUCCGAGCGUUGUCCGGAUUUACUGGGUGUAAAGGGUGCGCAGGCGGACUGAUAAGUCAGUGGUGAAAUCUCGUCGCUUAACGACGAAACUGCCUUUGAUACUAUCAGUCUUGAAUCCGGUAGAGAUCUGUGGAAUUCCGAGUGUAGCAGUGAAAUGUGUAGAUAUUCGGAAGAACACCAGUGGCGAAGGCAGCAGAUUGGGCCGGUAUUGACGCUCAGGCACGAAAGCAUGGGGAUCAAACAGGAUUAGAGACCCUGGUAGUCCAUGCCCUAAACGAUGUUCACUUGAUGUCUGCCCUCAGGGUAGGUGUCGAAGCUAACGC